rnacentral:rRNA from 1 species
GGGGAAUAUUGCGCAAUGGGGGAAACCCUGACGCAGCAAUACCGCGUGAGUGAAGAAGGCCUUCGGGUUGUAAAGCUCUUUCGGACGGAAAGAAAACGGAUGGGUUAAUACCCUGUUCGGAUGACGGUACCGUCAUAAGAAGCACCGGCUAACUACGUGCCAGCAGCCGCGGUAAUACGUAGGGUGCGGCGUUAAUCGGAAUUACUGGGCGUAAAGCGUGCGCAGGCGUUGAUUAAGACAGGCGUGAAAUCCCCGGGCUAACAUGGGAACUGCGCGUGUGACUGGUCGGGUAGAGUACGGCAGAGGGGGGUGGAAUUCCACGUGUAGCAGUGAAAUGCGUAGAGAUGUGGAGGAACACCGAUGGCGAAGGCAGCCCCCUGGGCCGAUACUGACGCUCAUGCACGAAAGCGUGGGUAGCAAACA